GAUGAACGCUAGCGGCUGGCCUAACACAUGCAAGUCGAGGGAGGAGCUUUCGGGCUUCGACCGGCGUACGGGUGCGUAACGCGUAUACAAUCUGCCUUUCACAUAGGGAUAGCCCGAAGAAAUUUGGAUUAAUACCUAAUGGUAUAUAGAGGUGGCAUCACCUUUAUAUUAAAGCUGAGGCGGUGAAAGAUGAGUAUGCGUUCUAUUAGCUAGUUGGAGAGGUAACGGCUCCCCAAGGCGACGAUAGAUAGGGGUUCUGAGAGGGAUAUCCCCCACACUGGUACUGAGAUACGGACCAGACUCCUACGGGAGGCAGCAGUGAGGAAUAUUGGACAAUGGUCGGAAGACUGAUCCAGCCAUGCCGCGUGCAGGAAGACGGCCUUAUGGGUUGUAAACUGCUUUUGCAGGGGAAGAAUAAGGACUACGCGUAGUUUGAUGACGGUACUCUGCGAAUAAGCAUCGGCUAACUCCGUG
rnacentral:rRNA from 1 species